GCCUUUCUACUUUCCUCAAUUACAGUUUGCCAUUCUUUUGUAACCUUCUGAUUCGAUUGUCGCCAGAAGAAUCCAGAGAGGGAUCAAUAUCACCCCUAAUCGCGUGUUCACAUCUGUUGAGAGAGAACGAAGAGAGCCGAGUGAUCUGGGUAGAAGAAGAAGAAGAAGAAGAAGGGAUUUCGAAUCACAAACAAAUCCUCUCCAUAACUCCUUCCAUAAAUCUUUCUUCUCCACUGUUAUUCAAGUUCACAUGAGUGCAUCAUUGUCGAUUUCGAGCAAAUUCAUCAGAGAGAGAGGAAGAAGGGAGAAAAGAAGAGGAGGGGGACGGGAAGCUCUCAGGGAAAUCAUCAGCCCGGGCAGUCCAACCCGAAGUUGUUGGUGGCCGUCCAGCAGGUGUGGAGUUUUCUGCAGAGAUUCAUGACUUUGUAGUUGAGGAUAAAGCCAAGUUGUACCCUUCUGUUAAAGAUGAUGUAUCCAUUACUAUAAUAGAAGCAAGCUCUCAUAUUUUGGACAUCCGAGUAAGGCAUAUACAUUUCUGUAAUUGAAGAAUCCUAAUAUUGAUGACUGGAUACUUGAGUGAUGCAACUAUGGCUGAGGAUGCCUCAUCUAUUUGCAUGACUAUAAUGAUUGGGAGCUCAUAUUUCCUUUAACCUUCUUUGCGGGGACAGGGUAUAGUCUCUUCUAUCUCUACCUCUUAUGGCUCCUCCUAACUUUCUCCUUUUGUAUUAUUGGGGAAAUGUAUCAUUUCAAAAUGGAGAUCCCUAUAAAAACCUUAUAAAAAUCUCUGUAGUGAAAUGAAGCUUCUGAUACCUGCAUACAGGACAUUUAAAUUUGACAAUUGAGACAAAAGUCCGGAAUUGGUCCUGUUAAGUUGUUGUUAAAUAUAUAUUGGCAAAACUGCCAGUCAACCACUCAAACCUUUUGUUACAAAGCGUGCUAUAGUACUUAAUUUUAGAAGUCUAUUUCUGUUUGGGUGGAUAGAUGAAUCGACAUUAAUUACCUUAAGGACUAUGCCAUUCCGGAUAACCUUAAUUAGACUAAAGUUGUGACCUUUUCUAUAAUGAAACCUCUCUGUAUAUCUUGCAAAGAGCAAACAUUGAACUGGCUUCUGUUUCAUGACUUCCAUCCACUGUUUUUGUUUAUAAAUGGUGAAUGUAAUUUUAAAUCUUUUUUGUUGUUUAGUAAAUGGUAAUGUUUAUGAUUUUGAGUGGAAAAUACUGGGUUCAUGAGUUCUUUUUUCUUUUUCUUCUUUUCUUUUUCCUUUUUAGUUAUACUGUUUCUGAAACAAAUAUUUUCAAAUGAAGAUAACGUUCUGAGAUUGAUGAUUUCCAUUUAGAUAUGAGUUCCAUUAGACAAUAAUAUUACAUUCUGAAGAUCAAUGAACUCUGUUUAGAUAUGAUUUCCAUUUAGAGAGUAUAAUUACAUUCUGAAGAAAUUA